CCUACGGGUUGCACCAGUGGGGAAUAUUGCACAAUGGGCGCAAGCCUGAUGCAGCCAUGCCGCGUGUGUGAAGAAGGCCUCCGGGUUGUAAAGCACUUUCAGCGGGGAGGAAGGCGAUAAGGUUAAUAACCUCAUCGAUUGACGUUACUCGCAGAAGAAGCACCGGCUAACUCCGUGCCAGCAGCCGCGGUAAUACGGAGGGUGCAAGCGUUAAUCGGAAUUACUGGGCGUAAAGCGCACGCAGGCGGUCUGUCAAGUCGGAUGUGAAAUCCCCGGGCUCAACCUGGGAACUGCAUCCGAAACUGGCAGGCUAGAGUCCUGUAGAGGGGGGUAGAAUUCCAGGUGUAGCGGUGAAAUGCGUAGAGAUCUGGAGGAAUACCGGUGGCGAAGGCGGCCCCCUGGACAAAGACUGACGCUCAGGUGCGAAAGCGUGGGGAGCAAACAGGAUUAGAUACCCUAGUAGUC
rnacentral:rRNA from 1 species